AGAGUUUGAUCCUGGCUCAGGAUGAACGCUAGCGACAGGCCUAACACAUGCAAGUCGAGGGGCAGCGGGGAGGUAGCAAUACCUUUGCCGGCGACCGGCGUACGGGUGAGUAACACGUAUGCAAUCCACCUGUAACAGGGGGAUAACCCGGAGAAAUCCGGACUAAUACCCCAUAAUAUGGGCGCUCCGCAUGGAGAGUUCAUUAAAGAGAGCAAUUUUGGUUACAGACGAGCAUGCGCUCCAUUAGCCAGUUGGCGGGGUAACGGCCCACCAAAGCGACGAUGGAUAGGGGUUCUGAGAGGAAGGUCCCCCACAUUGGAACUGAGACACGGUCCAAACUCCUACGGGAGGCAGCAGUGAGGAAUAUUGGUCAAUGGUCGGCAGACUGAACCAGCCAAGUCGCGUGAGGGAAGACGGCCCUACGGGUUGUAAACCUCUUUUGUCGGAGAGUAAAGUACGCUACGUGUAGCGUAUUGCAAGUAUCCGAAGAAAAAGCAUCGGCUAACUCCGUGCCAGCAGCCGCGGUAAUACGGAGGAUGCGAGCGUUAUCCGGAUUUAUUGGGUUUAAAGGGUGCGUAGGCGGCACGCCAAGUCAGCGGUGAAAUUUCCGGGCUCAACCCGGACUGUGCCGUUGAAACUGGCGAGCUAGAGUGCACAAGAGGCAGGCGGAAUGCGUGGUGUAGCGGUGAAAUGCAUAGAUAUCACGCAGAACCCCGAUUGCGAAGGCAGCCUGCUAGGGUGAAACAGACGCUGAGGCACGAAAGCGUGGGUAUCGAACAGGAUUAGAUACCCUGGUAGUCCACGCAGUAAACGAUGAAUACUAACUGUUUGCGAUACAAUGUAAGCGGUACAGCGAAAGCGUUAAGUAUUCCAC
rnacentral:rRNA from 1 species